UUGGGCACAUUGAAUUUUAGCACUUUGUUUCAACUUGUUCGGCAUCCACCCCUUCAUUCGAGAUGAGAACUGGUAUAGCCAUAAUGCUCUUUGUUGCAGUGGCAGGAUUCCACAAUGCGAUUUCAGCAUCUCUGGAAUUCGAUGAAAGCAAUAAAUCGCCUGAAGAGAGAAUGUAUGAAGAGAACGUCACGACAACACAACCAGAUGACUCGGAAUAUGCGGCUGCUCACGUGAACGUGACAGAAGAUCUCCUUAAAACGACUCAUAUGGAUGGAGAGACAGAGGCACUAACAUUUGAUACAGAUGGAGAGACAGAGGCACUAACAGUCGAUACAGGAGAGAACACCGGAAGUGACGAGUCCGUAGAUUUUUCUGAGGAAGACAGUAAGUAUAUUCAUUUAAAUUAUACUACUGUACAAGCAAAGCACUGUAAAUUAUAUAGGCUAUAUAUAUAUUGUCUUGUUAACUCAUCUUUAUCGUGUUAUUUUAUUUCUAUGAUUGGUGUGGCUACUGUAAACUGCUAAUGUUUCCAUGGCUAUUGUAAAGUUGUGUAACACAUGACUCUUAUUGCACAGCCUCUCAACAGAAGACAGGUAAACGCUUCACGUUACAUUAUUUGUAUCCAUAAUUUAAGACGAAAAACAGUUAGAAGUCUAACAUAUGUCCUUUCAUUAAAAUAGAAUGAUUGUAUUCAUGCAUGUGGUAUAUAUAGUCAGUAAUUUAAUGGAUGACUUUUGCAAUUGUAAUCGUUCCUUUUGAUAAUUGACCUGUUCUCUCUUAUAUAGUCUCUUGUUAUUUUCUAGAGCACAUCGAGCAGGCUGAAGAGACUGUGAAAAUAACAGGGGUUUUCUUUGAUGAUGCUUACGAAGAACAGUCGGUGUUUGAAUGAGUGAAUGUGAGGCAAAAUGUAAAGCGCUUUGGUGGACAUUUGGUUCUGCUAUAUAAAUGCAGUCCAUUUACGAAGAAAACUAGCGUGUGUGAAAUCUAUGUAAUAUCUUUUAAAUCUGAAUCUCUUGUUAUUGCAAAUUGCUAACCUGUGUACUACCUAGAUAAAAUCCACUGCAUGUAUGGUGAUCUUUUGCACACACAAUUUCAAAGAUCAGGUUUUUUUUUUUGUUUUUUUUUUAAUAAAGACUGUAAAAACUGA